rnacentral:tRNA from 1 species
GCCUCAGUAGCUCAGCUGGUUAGAGCGGCGGACUGUUAAUCCGUAGGUCCAAGGUUCAAGUCCUUGCUGAGGCGCUA